AUGACAGCAGGACGAGGAACGGGAGGGGAGGGGAGGGGAAGGUGGGGGGGACGCUGCCUUUGAUACUGGAUUCCCAGCCGCCGUAGCCGGCCUUGGAUGCAAAGUGCUCUCGGAAUGGCUACAAACCACCUCCAGAAAGAAUCAGGAAGCCAAGAUUGUAUUCUCCUCUCCUUUGAAGCUAUCCAGGGCUCUGAUGGUCCCCGAAGGUUUGUUCACACAAUGAGAAGGAAACUGCCAAUAACAGACACCUAACGAAAGAAAAAAUACAGAUGGCAAAUAAGCACAUGAAAAGACGCUCCACCUCAUAUGCCAUCAGGAAAAUGCAAAUCAGGACAAUGAGAAACCACUGCACUCCUAUCAGAAUGGCCAGAAUAGUGGACCUGAGGACAAGGAUGGAGGAGCAGAAAGCUGGAAGGCGCCAGGCGCCAGGCUGGUCCAUCCCAGUGCAGACCAGGGAAGAGCAGGUCCUGAGGACGCAGUCGGAGUGCUCACGUCGAAAGGACAGAGGAGAGGUGCUGGGUAGGGCAGCCUCGGGGCUCCAGGACACUGCUGGGAACUCAGAUGAGCUUUCAAAGUCCUAAAGGAUGUAUCUGCUGCUGUGCUGCCGCUGUGACACUGCCGUCACAGCAGUCACCACACUGCCCUGCCCCCAUCAGGGGAGGUCAGCCCAGAGGCACUGACUGCUGGCUCACCUGCUGAGGGAGAGGGGAGCCGUGUCAGCGCCAUGCUGUGCACACCCUGAAGUACCCAGAAUGCCCUGGGCAUCCUGCAGGCGCUGGUGCAGUGGGUGGCGCCUGAGAGUCUUCGUUUCUGACAAGCUCCUGAUCCAGCAACCACACGUGGCGAGACAGCUCUGUUGAGGUCUUUCUGAUCUUUAAUCUCUGACUGCUCUGUCCUCCUGAAGGAGCCAGGCAUUUCAAGGACUGUGGUGAAUAAACACACC